rnacentral:rRNA from 1 species
AGAUUGAACGCUGGCGGCAUGCCUUACACAUGCAAGUCGAACGGCAGCACGGGAGCAAUCCUGGUGGCGAGUGGCGAACGGGUGAGUAAUACAUCGGAACGUGCCCAGUAGUGGGGGAUAACCCGGCGAAAGCCGGACUAAUACCGCAUACGACCUACGGGUGAAAGCAGGGGAUCGCAAGACCUUGCGCUAUUGGAGCGGCCGAUGUCAGAUUAGCUUGUUGGCGGGGUAAAAGCCCACCAAGGCGACGAUCUGUAGC